AGUUGGUGAAGUAACAGCUCACCAAGGCGACGAUGGGUAGCCGGCCUGAGAGGGCGACCGGCCACACUGGAACUGAGACACGGUCCAGACUCCUACGGGAGGCAGCAGUGGGGAAUAUUGCACAAUGGAGGGAACUCUGAUGCAGCGACGCCGCGUGAACGACGAAGGCCUUCGGGUCGUAAAGUUCUGUCCUAAGGGACGAUAAUGACGGUACCUUAGGAGGAAGCCCCGGCUAACUACGUGCCAGCAGCCGCGGUAAUACGUAGGGGGCGAGCGUUGUCCGGAAUUAUUGGGCGUAAAGGGUGCGUAGGCGGCUAUUUAAGUCAGAUGUGAAAAGCGUAGGCUCAACCUAUGUUAGCAUAUGAAACUGAGUAGCUUGAGUUAAGGAGAGGAAAGUGGAAUUCCUAGUGUAGCGGUGAAAUGCGUAGAUAUUAGGAGGAAUACCAGUGGCGAAGGCGACUUUCUGGACUUAAACUGACGCUGAGGCACGAAAGCGUGGGUAGCGAACAGGAUUAGAUACCCUGGUAGUCCACGCCGUAAACGAUGAGUGCUAGGUGUCGGGGGUCAAACCUCGGUGCCGCAGCAAACGC
rnacentral:rRNA from 1 species